rnacentral:rRNA from 1 species
UACGUAGGUGGCAAGCGUUGUUCGGAAUUAUUGGGCGUAAAGGGCGCGUAGGCGGCAUGUUAAGUCGGCUGUGAAAAGCCUGGGGCUCAACCCCAGAGGGUCGGCCGAUACUGGCAAGCUAGAGUACGGAAGAGGUAGCUGGAAUUCCCGGUGUAGCGGUGAAAUGCGUAGAUAUCGGGGAGGAACACCUGAGGCGAAGGCGGGCUACUGGGCCGAUACUGACGCUGAUGCGCGAAAAGCCAGGGGGAGCGAACGGGG